UCGAGGCAUGAGAAGUAUGUGCCAAAAUCAGAAAUUUUGAUUAAAAUUCAGACUUUCUUGUUUUGAAAAUUUUCAUUGUUACAUAUUACUCCCCUUAAAUGAAUAUUAUCUCUUCCUAUAAUUUAUAAACUUAUUUCUCCUCCUAUAUCGCAACUUCUUUCUUUUCUUACUUCUCCCCUUUUUUGUUAUCAUCAAAAGAAUGUAUAGCAAUUGAUAUGUAAAAGCAAUAAAUGAUAAAAU
rnacentral:lncRNA from 1 species